UUCUAGAGGAAACGACAAACACGUUAUUGGGGGAAAGUUUAAAAAUAUUGAUCGGAUAUUCGUAAGGAUUAAUGGCCGCCCAGAGUCCUACAGAUGGAUGUCUUCCGCCAUGGAAGAAACCUGGGAAACAAGGAAAGGAGGUGUCAAGAUCUGAAGACGAGAAAAAGCCUACAGCAACAAAAAUUACAGAAUCGGCAAAGCCUAUUUUAGAGGAACAGGCGCUACUCAGAGAAAAGCUUAAGAAUUUACCGACGUGGAAGAAAGAUAAAGACGCG